GACGAACGCUGGCGGCGUGCCUAAUACAUGCAAGUUGAGCGCUGAAGGUUGGUACUUGUACCAACUGGAUGAGCAGCGAACGGGUGAGUAACGCGUGGGGAAUCUGCCUUUGAGCGGGGGACAACAUUUGGAAACGAAUGCUAAUACCGCAUAAAAACUUUAAACACAAGGUUUAAGAUUGAAAGAUGCAAUUGCAUCACUCAAAGAUGAUCCCGCGUUGUAUUAGCUAGGUGGUGAGGUAAAGGCACACCAAGGCGAUGAUACAUAACCGACCUGAGAGGGUGGACCGCCCCCACUGGACUGGGGCCACGCCCCAGCUCCCUACGGGAGCCACCGUUGGGGAUCUUCGCCCAUGGGCCGAAAGCUUGACGAGGCACCCCGCGUUGGUGGAGGAAGUUUUCGGGUCCUAAAACUCUGUUGAUAGGGGAGAACGUUAGUGAGAGUGAAAAGCUCACCAAGUGACGGUAACUACCCAGAAAGGGACGGCUAACUACGUG
rnacentral:rRNA from 1 species